rnacentral:rRNA from 1 species
CCUACGGGCGGCAGCAGUGAGGAAUAUUGGUCAAUGGGCGCGAGCCUGAACCAGCCAAGUCGCGUGAGGGAAGACGGUCCUAUGGAUUGUAAACCUCUUUAGGCGGGGAGCAAUGCCGGGCACGUGUGUCCGGAGGGAGAGUACCCGCAGAAUAAGCAUCGGCUAACUCCGUGCCAGCAGCCGCGGUAAUACGGAGGAUGCGAGCGUUAUCCGGAUUGAUUGGGUUUAAAGGGUGCGUAGGCGGAUUUUUAAGUCAGCGGUAAAAUGUCCGGGCUCAACCCGGGCCGGCCGUUGAAACUGGGGAUCUUGAGUGGGCGAGAAGUAUGCGGAAUGCGUGGUGUAGCGGUGAAAUGCAUAGAUAUCACGCAGAACUCCGAUUGCGAAGGCAGCAUACCGGCGUCCGACUGACGCUGAGGCACGAAAGCGUGGGGAUCGAACAGGAUUAGAUACCCCUGUAGUC